CGCCAGCGCCAUACCACCGAAAAAUGAAAUGUGCCUUGGUUAAAAAUAUGCAACGAUUUUAUUAGUUUUGGGCUUUCACAGUCGAUUUAAAUUUUAGUAUUACGAGUAUAAAUAAUCAAACGUAAAUGUAUUGGAAUGUUUCAGUUUUACAAUCAAUGAAAUCUUAUAAAGAACGAACCGUAUAGGUAUACCUACUUAUCAUGAGUAAUUGAGUAUCGAGCUUAACAGCAUUUUGAUGUUUUGAAUAGUGACGUCAUUGUUUUAUAAAUAAUUAGUGUUUUAAUAAAAAUAUUUACUUAAACUUAUAGAAUGUUUAAAUUAAAAAUUCAAUCAGCCCAUGAAUCUGAAGAUUUUGUUAGCCCCCUUUAUGCUAUUCAAUUUCAAAUUGAUUCUGAAAAUUUUCCAAAUUGAAAUAUUCUGUGAAAAAGGUGCUAAAGUUCCUCUUCAAUCUUUAUUCAACAAAACAAUUUGUAGACUCUUGAAAAUAGUAACAGUUCCUCAAUCCAUUCUACCCCAAAUCGAGAUGUCUUUGCCGCCACCCUCCAAAAAUGGAGAUCAUCUCCAAUCAAACAAAAUCAGUGACGACAGCGACGAUGAUACAAAUACCAGUUCAACAAGGAGUUCAGAUGACAAUCUACGCCGCUGCAAAAUAAUAUUUGAUGGAUUACAAAAGAUAAAAACUAACAACUAGGGAGCCCCUUUCCAAACUACCUGAAAAUUAUCAAAGAAGAAUUAAAAGAACUACAGAAUUUAAAAGAAAAGUAUCAAGCAAAAUUAAUUGACUGUGAAUUGGAUAAUAAUGUUAAUCUGGAAGAACAAAACAAAUUUCUGCAAAUAUACAAAUACCUUUGUAAUUGAUUAA